CAACAAGCCUGUUUUAUCUGAGGAUCCCAGAGAGGGAGGUCUGAGGAAGUGAGCACUCUGACAUAAGCCUGCCUAUGUCUUGAGCAAGAUGGGAGAGGCAAAUGUUGUGAAACUCAGAGUCCGGGGACCUCAAGCUCAGUCCUAGAAGACAGAAGCAGAUGGAUGGAAACGAAAUGGAACAGUUUCCCAUGUUUCCCCAACCAUGUAGAUAAAACAACAAACUUAAGACCUACUGUAACUGGAAACAUUCAGAGAGCUGCGAUAGAGGACCCUGCCCCACACUGUGAAGCAGGCAGGAACUCCUUAACCCGACCGAAGCUUGGACUUGCUCUGUUCCUCAUCAAAUAAGGCCAAACCCUCCCAAGAGAAACAAGAUAGGUCACGGAGCCCUGCCACUACCGACUGCGUGUGGCACCUGGCUAAACAUAUUUUUAGUUCUUGUCAAAGAAGCAGGUGUCCAAGGGACACCUGACUGCGCUGACACUCUCCACUUGGGGGGUGAGGAAUGUUUAAUAGGUUGGGUGGAAGCGAGGGCUAAAACAGCUCACUGGAACCUAACUUUCACUCUCUGGUAGCCCCCCUUUUCCUGCACAGCUACCUAUUAGAAGGGGCUCUCCGGGAAAGGGGAGAGCAGGGGAAACUAAGGAGUCCCUCCUGUUGGGGUAGGAGUGGACUCAAGCAACCCAUCAGUGAGUAUCCAGGGUCCUCCCCGGAAGAAGGCUCCAGGACGGAGGGUGCGUUCUGCACAUCAGGGUGACACGCUUGGAUCGCCCUCCAGGUGGGAGGCCUGGGAAGCCUUCGAGGGAGCAUCUAACCCAGGAGAAGCUUGUUGACAUGAUAGACUUGAACCAGGAGGAAGAAUUCAGAGGCAGACGCCUUGGGGAGCUGGGAAGGCUACACCACACCACUAAAAACAAAUUCUGUGGCCACAUCUUCUCCAAGAAGAGUCAUUGAGGAUUCCCACAGAAAGGGACCUCUCAUCUUGGUGCUCGGAAAAAUCACCUGCCAUAGGAAACUUUCACAUGCACUGCCAUGGGACCUGGGUGACCAUCUGUCAUCCAGGGGGACCUUAGGUUUGUUGUAGACACGCCCAUCUCAUGCAGAACCAGCCAUGGAGGUCUCAGGUGUGUGUGCCAAUCCUGGCGUUUUGAGAAUUCCUUCCCCGGGGAGACUCCAAGUCUACUACCCCACUAAGGUUGGUCCUCCUAAUGACAAACCAAAUAGGAGCCUAUCGAACUCAACGUGACAAACAAGUUUGUCGGGCUCGCUUUAGUUACAGAGUAUGGGUGAGGGGUUUCUCCACACAGCAGAACAUCUGUGUCUGGAAGGAAUGAUGGCUCCCCCAUAGCUGUGUAGAAGGAGCCCUCUUCUCCUAACCUUUUCCAGAUUGUAUACUCUAGCAUCCUCUAGACACCCUAGAGCCACGAGCAGUUAGAACAGAAAGGUUCGCAAAUGCCCAGGAGGGAAUGCUGGAAAUUAAGUGAGGGUCCUGUGGCCCUCGCUGUUCUCUUCUUCAGAAUUAAUGGCAGUAGUCUCCAGACCUGGUGGUGAUGACUCUUACACGCAGGCACACGAGAUCUAAUGAAGAUGGCGGCUGUUUGGCUCGGAGGAGCAAGUUCUAUAACUCCUGGUCCCAGAGUCCUGCAGAGUUGAUGCUAGAAAUCUGCUCUAUGUCUUCCCAACAAUGGAUGACGAAUGAGAGGUGCAAAUCCUCAUGGGAACUCACAUUGCCAUUGCACCACACAGAGAUGCCCGCUGAUACCUGUUUUAGCGGGGUUAGGGUGUCCUGUCCUCCACUUGCCUCGCCCUUACUUGACAUUUAUUUCACUUGAAUUCUCCCUGUUCCCUCACUGAGAGGUCAACUCCAUGGAUUCUCCAGUCUGCUUCCAGGUUUCUGCUUGGGUCCCACCAGUGGAAGGCGCACACGGGGAAGCAGAGAGCUGUGUGCGAGGGAGGAAAGGCCAUGUGCAUGUUUCCCCGACUUCACUUUCUGACCGCCAUACCAGAAGCAGGAAGGCAAAGGACGGCAGCAUAUAGGAUGAUUCUACACCUGAACCCUGAGAUUGUCUCCACCAAAGCAGCCCUCCCUCGGUUCAGCAUCCAAUCUAAAAUACACCCUUUCCUCGAAGCCUCGGAGACAGUCACAGGUUUGACAUGCAAGCAUGAAGACCUGAGUUUAGAUCCCCCAAAUCCCAUGUGUUCUGGGUGCACCUAGCAGAGAUAGGAGGAUCCCUGGGGGGCAUACUGGCCAGUCACUGUUGCAGAAUCAGGGAACAUCAGCUUCAUGGGAGGACCCUCUAGAACGCUUGGAGGGAGGUAUCCUGAGCCACCGUGUUCCUCUUCACCUGACCCAUUGCCCCACCUUUGGAGCUGCAAUCCUGUAGUUUCUUAGGCCAAAGUGGGCUAUUGUGCCCCUUUCUGCCCUGCGCUCUUACCUUCCCUUCAGAGCUGCCUGCAUUCCCACAGCUCUUCUUGGCCCUUGUGCGAGGUGAAAGGAAGAAGUGAUGGAUAAAACAUUUGCUGUGCAAAUAUAAGGACCAGAGUUUGGAUCCCCAGAACCUGUGUAAAAGCAGAACAUGUCUGGUGACCACCUGUUAUCUUAGCAGUCAAGGAGGCAUAGGCCAAGGAGCCCUAGGCAAGCCAGCUAGCUAGGCUAGCCUAAAUGGGUGAGCUCUGGGGCUAGCAAGAGACCUUGCCUUAAUAAAUAAAGGGAGAGCAACCGAAGAAGACACCCGAAGUCAACUUUGGGUUUUCAAAUGUGUGCACAUAUAUGUGCAUGUGCAUUGGCACGUACACAGGUAUCCACACACUUGUGAGCACACAGCUAUACUUAUGCAAGGGAGCAUUCAUCCAUGCAUGCACAGCACAUAUAUACUCAAGCAAAAAUUUAAAUAAUAAAAACAAGAAUUAGUGA